AAAUUGAAGAGUUUGAUCAUGGCUCAGAUUGAACGCUGGCGGCAGGCCUAACACAUGCAAGUCGAGCGGUAGCACAGAGAGCUUGCUCUCGGGUGACGAGCGGCGGACGGGUGAGUAAUGUCUGGGAAACUGCCUGAUGGAGGGGGAUAACUACUGGAAACGGUAGCUAAUACCGCAUAACGUCGCAAGACCAAAGUGGGGGACCUUCGGGCCUCAUGCCAUCAGAUGUGCCCAGAUGGGAUUAGCUAGUAGGUGGGGUAACGGCUCACCUAGGCGACGAUCCCUAGCUGGUCUGAGAGGAUGACCAGCCACACUGGAACUGAGACACGGUCCAGACUCCUACGGGAGGCAGCAGUGGGGAAUAUUGCACAAUGGGCGCAAGCCUGAUGCAGCCAUGCCGCGUGUGUGAAGAAGGCCUUCGGGUUGUAAAGCACUUUCAGCGGGGAGGAAGGCGUUAAGGUUAAUAACCUUGGCGAUUGACGUUACCCGCAGAAGAAGCACCGGCUAACUCCGUGCCAGCAGCCGCGGUAAUACGGAGGGUGCAAGCGUUAAUCGGAAUUACUGGGCGUAAAGCGCACG
rnacentral:rRNA from 1 species